UAAUUGAAGAGUUUGAUCAUGGCUCAGAUUGAACGCUGGCGGCAGGCCUAACACAUGCAAGUCGAGCGGCAGCACAGAGGAACUUGUUCCUUGGGUGGCGAGCGGCGGACGGGUGAGUAAUGCCUGGGAAAUUGCCCGGUAGAGGGGGGAUAACCAUUGGAAACGAUGGCUAAUACCGCAUAACCUCGCAAGAGCAAAGCAGGGGACCUUCGGGCCUUGCGCUACCGGAUAUGCCCAGGUGGGAUUAGC
rnacentral:rRNA from 1 species